ensembl:lncRNA
GCUGCUUCAAACAGAUUUUAAUCCAUAUUUUAGAGACAUUAAAUAUUUAAAAACAAUGGAACUGCAUCACAACUUUUGAUCAUCACAUAGAACAACUUCAUUAUAAAAAGAACCAUAGAAAAGGCCAAAAGAUAGCACUGAUAAAAACAGAAAAAAAACUGUGCAACACAUUUAGAAAUACAAUGCAAUCCGUGUUGGACAGAACUUUUAUUUUGUUCUUUAUGUUUCGUUAUGCCAGUGAUGUGCAUCAGAUUCACAGACAGAUUAGUCAGGCUGGAUCAGAGGCACUGUGCUGCUGCUGUACCACCAGUGUCAGGCUUCAGAUACACAGUCUUAAACUUAUUUGGUUGCCUAACUAACACGUCACAGUUUGGAUUUAAGCAGUUUAACGUCACUGAAUACCACACGUGGCGUACGCUGUAUUCAUGCGGCGGGAAUUCAGCCAUGUGCUUUAUUGCACUAAUCAGGAAGAUGGCGCUAUUCUUCCACCGCAACAAAGAUGAAAGAGAAAAAGGCUAGACGAGCUGAUGACAAUUUUUCACCAAUGAAUCUUGAGCAAUUACACUAUUAUAGUUUAAAAGCUGCUGCCCUUCUCGAGAUUAAUUUGGACAUUAUUAAGAGUCGCGGAGCAGAAACGAGCUUAUUCGAGCAACAGUUUUUCACCGCAGGGAACAGAGCGACUGAAAACCUUAAAGAAACUUCCUGUUAAAUGGGUCGGUUACACUUGGACCGUUUUGAUUUCCCACAUGAUUUAACACUGUUAUGUUCCAGGAAGAAAAGCAAAAUAGCAAUCACAGAAAUGCUACACACAAGGCAGUGAAGGCUUCAUGGUAGAAGGUCACGUGAUCGUAGAAGGAAUAUCAUGGACUAUUUGGAAAUAUGAUCUUGCUUUUUCUUUUUUCCACUUUUCCAAUAUACUGUAAAAUAGAGAACAUGAUACAACUGAAGUGCUGAUUAUUAAUAGAAAUUUUAUUUUAGAAUAGUCAAUAUUUUAUCUAUCCUCGUCAAUAGGCAUUAUAGGAAAUGUUCUCGUUGCUUUUCUUUUCAGGACACUACUUUCAUGCCAGAUGUUUAAUAUGGGCUCAGAACCAUAAGCUCAUUAGCCUAGCCUAGCCUAGCUAAAAUGUUAAAAGUGGGCUUAAUCUUCUAAAAUGGGCUAACGAUACAGCCACUUAGAACUGCUGGACAGAGACUCUGCCCUCUCUCUUCUGGGGUGUCUCUACUUUCCACUAUGAAUACACUAAUUUUAACUCAAUUGCAGAGUGUCUCCAAGAGAUGGCGCGUUCUUUACUUCUAUAUUUUUCAAAUAUUUUGCCAUCAACAGAAAGCGGCUAAGUAUCGUACUGCAGAGAUAUUAUCUGAAAUCGCAGCAUGUUUGUGGCCGCCCAUGUUUUUAAGGGCUCUGGUUCCAGAAAUGACUUUCCCACUUCCACAAAUUCAAGCCUUGAACAAAAGGCUUGAAUGUUUAUUCAAGCUUUGAACCAAGCAACACAGAUAUGAAGUGAAUCAUGACUAUGCAGAAGUAGCAGACUGUGUACAUAAAUACUUUUAUUGGUGAACUACCCAUCCCAUAACACAAGGCAGGCGACUUUAAGGCCCCUCAAAUGUAAUCCUUUUCUUUUAGUGUUGUAUAAUAUUAAUUGUGAAUAUUAUGUUGUAGUUUAUGUUGUAUGUCGCUGUUAAGAUUCUGGUGUAGUACCAUUCUGAACCACAAGAUGGUGCAGAAUGUCAGUAUUCGUAUAUGACUUAGAAAUUGUACCAAGAUAUUAAUUUAUUGUAUUUUUCGGACCAUAAGGCGCACCGGUUUAUAAGGCGCAUUAAGCGAAACAAAACAGUCAGAUAUGUCAAACUUUACUCAACUCAUUCUUUUGCUUCCUCCACUUCUGUACCAUUGAUUCAUUAAUGUCGAAUUCUCUGGCAGCUGCUCUAUUCCCAUGUUGUUGCAGUAUAUUAAUGACUAACCUCGCAUUGCGGAGGGAUUAUCUCAGUUGUUCUGACUGAAGUUUGGUCCGUUUACAGCAUCCUACCAUGCGAUCGCAUUUGUCCCUAACCAUCGGGAACCCUCAUGUUAACUUUUAUCCAGUGGAAAAAUAAGUUAGCAUUAUGCUAACAUAGCACAUCAUUAUAUACCAGCUAGCCCAACUCCAGUAACCUUACAAACGUCACUGCUGUUUAGUUUUCUGUCUUCAUUUAUGUUGGAAGUGAUAGCAGAGCUGUAUGUAUUCGUUUUAGAGGCGCAGUUUUUGACUUUGAAUAGAGAUAGGGAUGUAGUUUUCCACUGCUUUCUAGCUUAAUGCCAAGCUAGGCUAACUUACACUGACGUGAGAGUGGUGCUGAUGUAUUCAUCACUUUGUAAGGCAAAUCAGAACAUUUCCAGAAAUGCCAACUUUUCUUUACUAAAGAACAGUCAGAGAGAUGCUUGUUGGUUAUCUCUUGAUUAUCGAUCAUAUUUCUUGUUUUUGUGAAGAGCAUAUUAACGUCUCCUUCCACUAACCUCAACAAAUUCUUAUUUAUUGGAUAAUUCUUAUUUGUAACACUGCUGCAUGACUCUGACAGUAGAACGAAUGAGGACGA